rnacentral:rRNA from 1 species
GACGAACGCUGGCGGCGUGCUUAACACAUGCAAGUCGAACGGAAAGGCCCUGCUUUUGUGGGGUGCUCGAGUGGCGAACGGGUGAGUAACACGUGAGUAACCUGCCCUUGACUUUGGGAUAACUUCAGGAAACUGGGGCUAAUACCGGAUAGGAGCUCCUGCUGCAUGGUGGGGGUUGGAAAGUUUCGGCGGUUGGGGAUGGACUCGCGGCUUAUCAGCUUGUUGGUGGGGUAGUGGCUUACCAAGGCUUUGACGGGUAGCCGGCCUGAGAGGGUGACCGGCCACAUUGGGACUGCGAUACGGCCCAGACUCCUACGGGAGGCAGCAGUGGGGAAUAUUGCACAGUGGGCGGAAGCCUGAUGCAGCAGCGCCGCGUGCGGGAUGACGGCCUUCGGGUUGUAAACCGCUUUCGCCUGUGACGAAGCGUGAGUGACGGUAAUGGAUAAAGAAGCACCGGCUAACUACGUG